GAUGAACGCUGGCGGCGUGCCUAAUACAUGCAAGUCGAACGCAUUGUGGUUGAAAUGAUAUGAAGAACUUGUUCAGAUUUGAUUUUCAACAUUGCAAUGAGUGGCGAACGGGUGAGUAACACGUGGGAAACCUACCUCUUAGCAGGGGAUAACAUUUGGAAACAAAUGCUAAUACCGUAUAAUAAUUAAAACCGGCAAUGGUUUUAGUUUAAAAAGAUGGUCUUGCUAUCACUAAGAGAUGGUCCCGCGGUGUAUUAGUUAGUUGGUGAGGUAAUGGCUCACCAAGACAAUGAUACAUAGCCGAGUUGAGAGACUGACCGGCCACAAUGGGACUGAGACACGGCCCAUACUCCUACGGGAGGCAGCAGUAGGGAAUCUUCCACAAUGGACGAAAGUCUGAUGGAGCAACGCCGCGUGUGUGAUGAAGGGUUUCGGCUCGUAAAACACUGUUGUAAGAGAAGAAUGACAUUGAGAGUAACUGUUCAAUGUGUGACGGU
rnacentral:rRNA from 1 species